rnacentral:rRNA from 1 species
AACGAACGCUGGCGGCAUGCCUAACACAUGCAAGUCGAACGAGAUCUUCGGGUCUAGUGGCGCACGGGUGCGUAACGCGUGGGAAUCUGCCCUUUGGUUCGGAAUAACGGUUGGAAACGACUGCUAAUACCGGAUGAUGACGAAAGUCCAAAGAUUUAUCGCCAGAGGAUGAGCCCGCGUAGGAUUAGCUAGUUGGUGUGGUAAAGGCGCACCAAGGCGACGAUCCUUAGCUGGUCUGAGAGGAUGAUCAGCCGCACUGGGACUGAGACACGGCCCAGACUCCUACGGGAGGCAGCAGUGGGGAAUAUUGGACAAUGGGCGAAAGCCUGAUCCAGCAAUGCCGCGUGAGUGAUGAAGGCCUUAGGGUUGUAAAGCUCUUUUACCCGGGAUGAUAAUGACAGUACCGGGAGAAUAAGCUCCGGCUAACUCCGUGCCAGCAGCCGCCGUAA